rnacentral:tRNA from 1 species
GCCACGGUGGUCUAGUGGUCAGAACGCUGGCCUUGUAAUCCUGGGGUCCCGGGUUCAAUUCCCGGUGGUGCUC